rnacentral:ncRNA from 2 species
UAAUGUCCGGCUGUCAGCGGUCCGCGCCUCUCAUGAGGCGUGGCUAAGAGGGAAGCCGGUCCAAACCCGGUGCUGCCCCCGCAACUGUAGGCGGUGAGUGUCGAUCCGAAAGACCAUUAGGGUGCGCCCUGAGAAGGUGGCUCGAAACCGUGACCCGCAAGCCAGGAGACCUGCCACUGACCGCAUCUGUCA